ensembl:lncRNA
AGAAAUUCAGGAUAGAAUGUGAAUAAAAGCUGUCUGUUCCCUCAGGAUACGUCAAGUCACAUUAUUCUAUGUCUAGGAAGUGUUCAGCUCAGAUCUUAACCCCUAAAUCCAGCCAUCUCAGCUUGACAGGAUGAGCCUGGAAGUAACAGUAAAGAAGUGGAUUUCCCACAGAGAUGAGAGCUGACCUCCAUGUGUCACACACUCCUGUGUGGACAAGUCUGUCUGCUGUCCUCUCUUAACAAAAGCACCUACCAGGAGGAAGGUGAUGUCUAAGUGGUAUUCCUUAUUCUCUUUGUAUGUCACAUAGAAAUGUGGACAGAUAUAGGACUGUAAAGUCUGUCUUGGGGAAGAAAUAGUUUCAGUGGAGGCAGUUCCCCAAAACCAGACAAAGUGGAUAGCAUUCCCAAACUGAAUUUCUCCAAGUUUAUUUACACAUUUUUUAAGAUCUCUGCAGACAAAAUGAAGCAG